GCAGUUAACACAGUCUGUGCUGGUUUCUUUAGUCAGUGAUUCAAGCUCAGAUUUGUCUUUUUGUUAAAGGGUGAUAGGGUUGAAGCAACAGGAUGAGAGAUCUCAAGCAUGCUACUGAAUGUUGUGCUCUGACAAAACGCCAUAGCUUCCUUUAUCAAGACAGCUGUGUUUUUAAAUAAAUGAUCUUAAUUUGGCCUGCAGAAGGAUUAUGCCUGAUACUCAAAUGUAAUACCUUGAAAGGUCACCUUGACUUCCUCAAGAAGUUUAAUUCAAGGCAUUCAGGAUGCCAGACCAGAAGGCCUCCCAGACUGAGAUCAUCUAGAAACUCCAUUCUAUCUGAACUACAGAAAGUCUAGGGAAGAAAAAAAAAAAACUUUAGCAGGGUAAACUCUGCAACAAGCUUAAAAGAAUUCCAAGAGCAAGAUGUAAAUUCUUCAGCCAAUGGAGUUUGUGGCAUAUAUUCAACAUCUAUUGUUACAACUAAGACAGACUGAUCUGAGCUGAAAAUAUCAAUAACAGGAAUUGCUGGAACAACAUAAGCCUGCUUUGUAUGCACAUCUUGUGCUGCUGGGGAGCCACUCCUACCUCACAAUUUGAUUUGACACCAAGUUCUCCAGCAGAAAGGAGACACAUCUGACAGAAGGGCAGCCCAUGGAAAGACAAAACUGUCAAAGAAAGAAGGAAGCGAAAACAAUCCAACUGAGCAUUUCCUUGCAAUGCAUCCUUUCCCUGGGAAGACAAGAAACUGCAUUUCAGCUGCUGUAGAAAAAGCACAAGCCAGAUGUGGAGUUCAAUGCCAGUGCAUCGACUAACAGGACAAAAAAUGUGCACAGGAGGUGUCAAACCCCAGAAUGCAGCAGCACAGAGGAGCUGAAGGGGUUCUUUCUUCUCCUCCACUUGGGUGCUUCAAGCAGUGGAGCUAAUGCAGCUCCAUUGGCGGAGCAGAUGAGCAUGGCAUCCUUAAUGCCCUGUGGCCUAGCAGAUUAAUUGUGCAACCAUUGUCCUCCCACUUUUCCUGCAUAUUAAAUUGGAGCUAAUGAGUCAUUAUCUGUGGUCUGCUUGGAAGAAUGAGUUGUUUGUUCAGCACUUUGAAAUCGUAAAUCAAUAUAUACUGCAAACGUGAUGUGCCGCCUACAACUUCAUUCAACAGAGAGCAGCAUUGGACAGGAAAAAAUGAUGUAUCACCCUGGCUCUUAAUGCUGCCCUCUGCAGAAUCUGGUGAUGCGGGUGACUCCUGGGUGUCUGUCUGGAGAGCAAGUAUGAUGGAAGGGGGCUUAUUCACCAUCUCCUGUGGGCAAAGUGAGCAAACCUAAAUGAAGUAAGAGGAAGAUAUAAAUGGUGAUCACCUGAAUCAUUCUGACAUCCAUAGAGUUACUAUUCAUUUAGUAAGCCAAUGACACAAGUAUUUCCUUUGGUACUCCAAGGUUCUCUCCAGGCAUAUCAGGCAGUAUUUUCAGACAAGCACUUAAAAAAAAAAAAAAAAAAAAAGGGAAAAAAGUCACAUUCUGUGGCUACUUCUUAGGAUUGCCUUAAAUGUUGUCUUUAGAAUUCAAGGAAGUUUAGGAAAAAAAUCUAUUUUUCUUUCUGACAUAGCAUUUUCUGAGAUAGGUUGCAGCAGCUUUCAGGGCUCCCUGGAGUGCAGCAUUUUGAGAGAUAUAGCAUUUCCAGGCUCUGUUCAGCGCCACACCACCCCCUGUGCUUCUCCUCCUUCACUCCAGGGUUCUUCCCAGGGAUGCUCUGAAAAUAGAGAAGAUUUACCACCUGUAGGACUGCAGCUGGUACUGAAAGACUGCUGGAAAGAAAAAAAAAAAAAAAAAAGCAAAUAAGGUUCACUGUAUUCACAUUUUGCCAGUUCUCUUCAACAAUUGACAAGUCCUAACAAAUCUCUGUAUCAGUAUUUCUAAGAUAUAGUUGCAAGAAGCUGCGCUUAGGUUUCGGUUUCCAGGAUUAACUGCCUUUUUAUUUUCUGCUCAUGCUGUAAGCAUAACGCUCCAGGUUAAGGGCUUAAAACAGAAUUUACAGUGAAUCCAGAGCAUAUACUCAUUUGUGUGACUUUGUAAUUGUAAUUCUGAAUGCAAAAAUGUUACCCUUCCUUUUCCUGUGGUUUGCAAUGACGUGUGACAGUAAGCAGUGUGACCAAGACUGAAAUUCAUUAUAUGCAGUCCACCUCACCUUACCCAAAAUACGUGGAUGACUGUUAAAAUACCAUAAUUAUGCACAAAGGAGAAAGAAAGAGGGAGAGUGUGUUUUUUUUCUUUUUUUUCUUCUCCUUUUUUUCUUUUUUAAUUUAUAUCAGGC
ensembl:lncRNA